UACUAUAUCAAAUCAUUGUAUAGU
rnacentral:siRNA from 1 species